rnacentral:rRNA from 1 species
CCCUUAGAUGUUCUGGGCCGCACGCGCGCUACACUGGUUCAUGCAACAAGUUUUGUCCUUGGCUGAUAGGCCUGGGUAAUCUUUGAACGUGAAUCGUGAUGGGGAUAGAUGAUUGCAAUUAUUCAUCUUCAACGAGGAAUUCCUAGUAAACGCAAGUCAUCAGCUUGCAUUGAUUACGUCCCUGCCCUUUGUACACACCGCCCGUCGCACCUACCGAUUGAAUGGUCCGGUGAAAUCUUCGGAUCUGAGAGAUGUCUGAUUAAUUUCGGACGCCUUUUGGAAAAGUUGCUUAAACCUUACCAUUUAGAGGAAGGUGAAGUCGUAACA